rnacentral:rRNA from 1 species
UGCUGAGGGACAUGCCGCGAUGAGGGAGGAGGUCUUUGGAUUGUAAACCUCUUUUCUCAAGGAAGAAGUUCUGACGGUACUUGAGGAAUCAGCCUCGGCUAACUCCGUGCCAGCAGCCGCGGUAAUACGGGGGAGGCAAGCGUUAUCCGGAAUUAUUGGGCGUAAAGCGUCCGCAGGUGGUCAGCCAAGUCUGCUGUCAAAUCAGGUUGCUUAACGACCUAAAGGCGGUGGAAACUGGCAGACUAGAGAGCAGUAGGGGUAGCAGGAAUUCCCAGUGUAGCGGUGAAAUGCGUAGAGAUUGGGAAGAACAUCGGUGGCGAAAGCGUGCUACUGGGCUGUAUCUGACACUCAGGGACGAAAGCUAGGGGAGCGAAAGGGAUUAGAUACCCCUGUAGUCA